GAUCAUGGCUCAGGAUGAACGCUAGCUACAGGCUUAACACAUGCAAGUCGAGGGGAAACGAUAGAGAAAGCUUGCUUUUUCUAGGCGUCGACCGGCGCACGGGUGAGUAACGCGUAUCCAACCUGCCCACCACUUGGGGAUAACCUUGCGAAAGUAAGACUAAUACCCAAUGACGUCUCUAGAAGACAUCUGAAAGAGAUUAAAGAUUUAUCGGUGAUGGAUGGGGAUGCGUCUGAUUAGCUUGUUGGCGGGGUAACGGCCCACCAAGGCGACGAUCAGUAGGGGUUCUGAGAGGAAGGUCCCCCACAUUGGAACUGAGACACGGUCCAAACUCCUACGGGAGGCAGCAGUGAGGAAUAUUGGUCAAUGGACGAGAGUCUGAACCAGCCAAGUAGCGUGCAGGAUGACGGCCCUAUGGGUUGUAAACUGCUUUUAUAAGGGAAUAAAGUGAGUCUCGUGAGACUUUUUGCAUGUACCUUAUGAAUAAGGACCGGCUAAUUCCGUG
rnacentral:rRNA from 1 species